rnacentral:rRNA from 1 species
UACGUAGGGUGCAAGCGUUAAUCGGAAUUACUGGGCGUAAAGCGUGCGCAGGCGGUUAUGUAAGACAGGUGUGAAAUCCCCGGGCUUAACCUGGGAACUGCAUUUGUGACUGCAUAGCUAGAGUACGGUAGAGGGGGAUGGAAUUCCGCGUGUAGCAGUGAAAUGCGUAGAUAUGCGGAGGAACACCGAUGGCGAAGGCAAUCCCCUGGGCCUGCACUGACGCUCAUGCACGAAAGCGUAGGGGAGCGAA